GUGAGUCAUCGAAUCUUUGAACGCACAUUGCGCCCGCCAGUAUUCUGGCGGGCAUGCCUGUUCGAGCGUCAUUUCAACCCUCAAGCUCAGCUUGGUGUUGGGACUCGCGGUAACCCGCGUUCCCCAAAUCGAUUGGCGGUCACGUCGAGCUUCCAUAGCGUAGUAAUCAUACACCUCGUUACUGGUAAUCGUCGCGGCCACGCCGUAAAACCCCAACUUCUGAAUGUUGACCUCGGAUCAGGUAGGAAUACCCGCUGAACUUAAGCAUAUCAAUAAGCGGAGGA
rnacentral:misc_RNA from 1 species